rnacentral:rRNA from 1 species
AAUGAACGCUGGCGGCGUGGUUAAGACACGCAAGUCGAACGGGACUUUCUGAAGGGCAACCGGAUGAAAGUUCAGUGGCGAACGGGUGCGUAACACGUGAACAAUCUACCUCCGAGUGGGGAAUAGCUCGCCGAAAGGCGAAUUAAUACCGCAUGUGGUGGUUUCUCGCAUGAGAGAUUAACUAAAGUCAGGGACCGCAAGGCCUGACGCUAGGAGAGGAGUUCGCGGCCUAUCAGCUAGUUGGCGAGGUAACGGCUCACCAAGGCUAAGACGGGUAGCUGGUCUGAGAGGAUGAUCAGCCACACUGGAACUGAGACACGGUCCAGACACCUACGGGUCGCAGCAGUUUCGAAUCAUUCACAAUGGGCGAAAGCCUGAUGGUGCGACGCCGCGUGAGGGAUGAAGGUCUUCGGAUUGUAAACCUCUGUCACCGGGGAAGAAACGCUUUGAGCUAAUAGUUCAAAGCCUGACUUAACCCGGAGAGGAAGCAGUGGCUAACUCUGUGCCAGCCGCCGCAGUAAGAC